rnacentral:rRNA from 1 species
GUGGAUUAGAUACCCUGGUAGUCCACGCCGUAAACGGUGCGCACUAGGUGUCGGGGGUAUUCACCCCUCCGGUGCCGCAGCUAACGUCUUAAGUGCGCCGCCUGGGAAGUACGGCCGCAAGGCUAAAACUCAAAGGAAUUGACGGGGGCCCGCACAAGCGGUGGAGCAUGUGGUUCAAUUCGAUGCAACGCGAAGAACCUUACCUGGUCUUGACAUCUCGGGAAUCUCCCUGAAAGGGGAGAGUGCCUUCGGGAGCCCGAAGACAGGUGCUGCAUGGCUGUCGUCAGCU